rfam:Camelus ferus unplaced genomic scaffold scaffold475, whole genome shotgun sequence.
GGAAGGGUACAGCUCAAGUGGUAGAGCACAUGCUUAGCAGGCACGAGGUCCUGGGUUCAAUCCUCAGUACCUCCU